UACGGAGGGUGCAAGCGUUAUCCGGAUUCACUGGGUUUAAAGGGAGCGUAGGAGGGCAGGUAAGUCAGUGGUGAAAUCUUCGAGCUUAACUCGGAAACUGCCGUUGAUACUAUCUGUCUUGAAUACCGUGGAGAUGAGCGGAAUAUGUCAUGUAGCGGUGAAAUGCUUAGAUAUGACAUAGAACACCAAUUGCGAAGGCAGCUCGUUACACGAAUAUUGACUCUGAGGCACGAAAGCGUGGGGAUCAAACAGG
rnacentral:rRNA from 1 species